UAGGGAAUCUUCGGCAAUGGGGGGCAACCCUGACCGAGCAACGCCGCGUGAGUGAAGAAGGUUUUCGGAUCGUAAAGCUCUGUUGUAAGAGAAGAACGUGUGUGAGAGUGGAAAGUUCACACAGUGACGGUAACUUACCAGAAGGGACGGCUAACUACGUGCCAG
rnacentral:rRNA from 1 species